rnacentral:rRNA from 1 species
AUUGAACGCUGGCGGCAGGCCUAACACAUGCAAGUCGAACGAGUGGCGGACGGGUUAGUAAUGUCUGGGAAUCUGCCUGAUGGAGGGGGAUAACUACUGGAAACUGUAGCUAAUACCGCAUACCAUCAGAUGUGCCCAGGUGGGAUUAGCUUGUUGGUGGGGUAACGGCGCACAAAGGCGACGAUCUCUAGCUGGUCUGAGAGGAUGACCAGCCAGACUGGAACUGAGACACGGUCCAGACUCCUACGGUAGGCAGCAGUGGGGAAUAUUGCACAAUGGGCGCAAGCCUGAUGCAGCCAUGCCGAGUGUAUGAAGAAGGCCUUCGGGUUGUAAAGUACUUUCAGUGGGGAGGCGUUAACUGCAGAAGAAGCACCGGCUAACUCCGUGCCAGCAGCCGCGGUAAUUC